CUGUUGUGGACAAAUCAUAUGAAUAUGAGAAUCAACGCCGCCAGCGGUUAAAAUUUGGCCUUCGCCAGCAAUGGCUUCGCUACCGGGUCCGACAACAAUAUUCACCCCUGGCUGAGUAUCGGGAUUGCCCGCUUUUCCUAUGCCAGUGAUGCGACCGUCUUUGAUGCCAAUAUCGGCUUUGAUAAUCCCCCAGUGAUCAACGAUUAAAGCAUUAGUGAUGACCACAUCGACGGUUUCAGCUGAUACUCGUUGGCUCUGUCCCAUACCAUCUCG
rnacentral:sRNA from 1 species